AACGGAGAGGGCGAGUGUUACUCAUAAUGACUGGGUGUAAAGGGUACGUAGGUGGCUAAAUAAGUGGCGAGUGAAAGAAAAGAUUAAUUACUUUGAACGCUUGUUGAACUACUUAGCUAGAGUGUUGUCGAGGGUGCUGGUACUUUUGAUGGAGAGGUGAUAUUCUGCGAUUUCAAAAGGACGACCAAAGGCGAAGGCAAGUGCCUAGAGAACACUGACACUGAGGUACUGAAGCGUGGGUAUCAAAUCGG
rnacentral:rRNA from 1 species